UACGUAGGGUGCAAGCGUUGUCCGGAAUUAUUGGGCGUAAAGGGCUCGUAGGCGGUCCAUCACGUCGGGAGUGAAAAGCUGGGGCUUAACCCCAGUCCUGCUUCCGAUACGGGUGGACUAGAGGUAGGUAGGGGAGAACGGAAUUCCUGGUGUAGCGGUGAAAUGCGCAGAUAUCAGGAGGAACACCGGUGGCGAAGGCGGCCCCCUGGUUGGAUACUGACGCUGAUACGCGAAAGCGUGGGGAGCAAACAGG
rnacentral:rRNA from 1 species